GGGACUCAUCCGAGGCCCCGUAAUCGGAAUGAGUACACUUUAAAUCCUUUAACGAGUACCCAUUGGAGGGCAAGUCUGGUGCCAGCAGCCGCGGUAAUACCAGCUCCAAUAGCGUAUAUUAAUGUUGUUGCGGUUAAAAAGCUCGUAGUUGAAUUUGUGUUCCGCGCUGUCGGUUCACCGCCCGCGGUGUUUAACUGGCACGUCCGCGGAACGUCCUGCCGGUGGAUGCGUGGACCUUGUAUGCUUCCNCAUUGUGCGUGUGCAACUUCGGUUGUUACUGUAUGAUGUGGUGGGGUUGCAGGCGCUCUACCAUCCGACUCAAUAAUCCUGUCGCGGUGCUCUUAAUUGAGUGUCRAGGCGGGCCGGCACGUUUACUUUGAACAAAUUAGAGUGCUCAAAGCAGGCUAAAAUUUCGCCUGAAUACUGUGUGCAUGGAAUAAUGGAACAGGACCUCGGUUCUAUUUUGUUGGUUUUCGGAAACCCGAGGUAAUGAUUAAUAGGGACAGAUGGGGGCAUUCGUAUUGCGACGUUAGAGGUGAAAUUCUUGGAUCGUCGCAAGACGGACAGAAGCGAAAGCAUUUGCCAAAAAUGUUUUCAUUAAUCAAGAACGAAAGUCAGAGGUUCGAAGGCGAUCAGAUACCGCCCUAGUUCUGACCAUAAACGAUGCCAGCUAGCGAUCCGCCGACGUUCCUCCGAUGA
rnacentral:rRNA from 1 species